rnacentral:pre_miRNA from 1 species
GAAGAGUGGAGGUAUUGACGUGCCUCAAUUUGAAGACAUGGUUAUAUGGCUCAUACCCAUGUGUUCGGAUUGAGCCGCGUCAAUAUCUCCUUUCACCCU